AAGGCUUUUGCAUAGUCAAUGAAGCAGAAGUAGAUGUCUUCCUGGUACUCUCUAGCUUUCUCCAUAAUCCAGCGCAUGUUUGCAAUUUGGUCUCUGGUUCCUCUGCCCCUUCGAAAUCCAGCUUGCACUUCUGGGAGUUCUCGGUCCACAUACUGCUUGAGCCUUCCUUGUAGAAUUUUAAGCAUAACCUUGCUAGCGUGUGAAAUGAGUGCAAUUGUGCGGUAGUUGGAGCAUUCUUUGGCACUGCCCUUCUUUGGGAUUGGGAUGUAGACCGAUCUUCUCCAAUCCUCUGGCCACUGCUGAGUUUUCCAAACUUGCUGGCAUAUUGAGUGUAGCACCUUAACAGCAUCAUCCUUUAAAAUUUUAAAUAGUUCAGCUGGAAUGUCAUCACUUCCACUGGCCUUGUUAUUAGCAGUGCUUUCUAAGGCCCAUUUGGCUUCACUCUCCAGGAUGUCUGGCUCAAGGUCAGCAACCACACUACCUGGGGUGUACGAGACAUCCAUAUCUUUCUGGUAUAAUUCUGUGUAUUCUUGCCACCUCUUCUUGAUGUCUUCUGCUUCUGUUAGGUCCUUUCCACUUUUGUCUUUUAUUAUGGUAAUCUUUGUAUGAAAUGUUCCUUUCAUAUCUCCAAUUUUCUUGAACAGAUCUCUGGUUUUUCCCAUUCUAUUGUUUUCCUCUAUUUCUUUGCAUUGCUCAUUUAAGAAGACCUUCUUGUCUCUCCUUGCUAUUUUUUGGAAAUCUGCAUUCAAUUUCCUGUAUCUUUCACUAUCUCCCUCGCAUUUUGCUUGCCUUCUCUCCCCCCGCUAUUUGUAAGGCCUCGUUGGACAGCCACUUUGCUUUCUUGCAUUUCCUUUUCAUUGGGAUGGUUUUAGUUGCUGCCUCCUGUAUAAUGUUGCGAGCCUCCACCCAUAGUUCUUCAGGCACUCUGUCCACCAAAUCUAAAUCCUUAAACCUGGUCCUCACUUCCACUGUGUAUUCAUAAGGGAUUUGGUUUAGAUUGUAUCUUACUGGCCCAGUGGUGUUUCCUACUUUCUUCAGUUUAAGCUUGAAUUUUGCUAUAAGAAGCUGAUGAUCUGAGCCACAGUCAGCUCCAGGUCUUGUUUUUGCUGACUGUAUAGAGCUUCUCCAUCUUUGGCUGCAGAGAAUAUAAUCAAUCUGAUUUCGAUGCUGCCCAUCUGGUGAUGUCCAUGUGUAGAGUCGUCUCUUGUGUUGUUGGAAAAGCGUGUUUGUGAUGACCAGCUUGUUCUCUUGGCAGAACUCUAUUAGCCUUUGCCCUGCUUCGUUUUGAUCUCCAAGGCCAAACUUGCCAGUUGUUCCUUUUAUCUCUUGACUCCCUACUUUAGCAUUCCAAUGCCCUAUAAUGAGAAGAACAUCCUUCUUUGGUGUCAUUUCUAUAAGGUGUUGUAAGUCUUCAUAGAAUUGCUCAAUUUCAGUUUCUUCAGCACCAGUGGUUGGUGCAUAAACUUGGAUUACUGUGAUGUUAAAAGGUCUGCCUUGGAUUCGUAUCGAGAUCAUUCUAUCAUUUUUGAGAUUGCAUCCCAGUACCACUUUUGCCACUCUUUUGUUGACUAUGAGGGCCACACCAUUUCUUUUAUGGGAUUCUUGCCCACAGUAGUAGAUAUGAUGGUCAUCUGAACUGAAUUCGCCCAUUCCCAUCCAUUUUAGUUCACUGAUGCCCAGGAUGUCAAUAUUCCUCUUCCUGUACUUUGGACCAUAAAGGGGUGUUCCUAUUCCUGUUCCUAUACUCUUAUCUUGGAGCAAGAGGUCACCAACUCCUGGCGCCGUUCCCGGACUAAGUCUGUGCGUCAGAGUGUGGUCUUAAUGUAAGAUAAGAUAGAGUGCCAUCCCUGCUCCACUGGAACAGCCAAGGCCAUCCAUUGCCGUCACGGACUGAUAAAGGAGAGCGCUUUGAGCACUUGUUUAUACAGCUGGCUUUCUGUUUAUACAUUGACUCACGAGCUCAAGUUAAUGCAUUUUAGAAAUGCUCCCUUGCAGGGAGGGAAAUGUGGAUUUUGGGUCCCGUUUCAGACUGACUGUACAGUCAGGUUUUUAGAUUUGGAAACCCAUUCCUUCAUUAAGGCUUGGUUUCCAGACCCUUGAUCAUCUUGGUUGCCCUCCUCUGCACACCUUCCAACUUGUCAAUCUCCGCUUUAAACUGGGAUGCCCAGAACUGGACACAGGACUCCAGGUGUGGUCUGUCCAAGGCAGAAUAGAGCAGGAUUAUUCCUUCCCUUGACCUGGACACUAGACUUCUUGUUGAUGCAGCCUAGAAUAGCGUUGGCCUUUUUUGCUGCUGCAUCACACUAUGGGCUCAUGUUUAGCUUGUGGUCCUCCAAGACCCCAAGAUCCUUUUCACAUGUACUGCUAGCGAGCCAGCUGUCCCCCAUUUUAUAUUUGUGCAUCUGGUUCUUCCUGCCUAAGUGUAGAAUCUUACAUUUGUCCUGACCGAAACAAAAUAAAUGUCCUUGCUUUUGGAUUUGCCUCCUUUUUAACUCCCUGCUUUCCUCCCCACCGACACCAGCCUUCACUGCAUCAAAUAAAUAAAUAUACGUACAGGUUUGCAACAUUUCGCCUUUCCCCUUCUUGCAGUACGCCAAAGGUUUUCAGGAUGCCGUUGUCUUCACAGUAAUACGGGUCAUUGUGGUAAGAUUGGGCCAAACCCCAGUCCCCUAUCCUGUUCAUCAUACCAUUUUAAACAGUUUUCGCCCGCAAAGAGUCCUGGGAAACAUAGUUUGGUUACUGGGGCUGAGUGCGGUGAGGAGACUCUUAUUUCCCCCCAUGGAACUACAAUUCCCAGAGUCCCCCGGGAAGCGCUGUUGAACUGGCAUGGCUCCCCCCCCAGGGAAUUCUGGGAGUAUCAGGAUUUUUGAGAUGCUUUAGUGGGGCAUGGUCCUGAAAAAGGUUGGUCUAAUCUAUGCUGUGACUGCACUGCCUGAUUGUAAAAACAAACAAACAAAUUCAAAGCUCGUUACCAAAACAAUAAAAUUACCGUG